UCGAGCGGUAGCACAGAGAGCUUGCUCUCGGGUGACGAGCGGCGGACGGGUGAGUAAUGUCUGGGAAACUGCCUGAUGGAGGGGGAUAACUACUGGAAACGGUAGCUAAUACCGCAUAAUGUCGCAAGACCAAAGUGGGGGACCUUCGGGCCUCAUGCCAUCAGAUGUGCCCAGAUGGGAUUAGCUAGUAGGUGGGGUAACGGCUCACCUAGGCGACGAUCCCUAGCUGGUCUGAGAGGAUGACCAGCCACACUGGAACUGAGACACGGUCCAGACUCCUACGGGAGGCAGCAGUGGGGAAUAUUGCACAAUGGGCGCAAGCCUGAUGCAGCCAUGCCGCGUGUGUGAAGAAGGCCUUCGGGUUGUAAAGCACUUUCAGCGGGGAGGAAGGCGUUAAGGUUAAUAACCUUGGCGAUUGACGUUACCCGCAGAAAAAGCACCGGCUAACUCCGUGCCAGCAGCCGCGGUAAUACGGAGGGUGCAAGCGUUAAUCGGAAUUACUGGGCGUAAAGCGCACGCAGGCGGUCUGUCAAGUCGGAUGUGAAAUCCCCGGGCUCAACCUGGGAACUGCAUUCGAAACUGGCAGGCUAGAGUCUUGUAGAGGGGGGUAGAAUUCCAGGUGUAGCGGUGAGAUGCGUAGAGAUCUGGAGGAAUACCGGUGGCGAAGGCGGCCCCCUGGACAAAGACUGACGCUCAGGUGCGAAAGCGUGGGGAGCAAACAGGAUUAUAUACCCUGGUAGUCCACGCCGUAAACGAUGUCUAUUUGGAGGUUGUGCCCUUGAGGCGUGGCUUCC
rnacentral:rRNA from 1 species